CGCUGAGGAGAAAAGCCGGCUAGACGCCGUGCUCGCCCCGCCGCCAGGCAUCAACCUCGCCCGCCUACCCUGCUUCCCGGCCGAGAGGCCCUGGCUCUGGCUCGCUGCGUCCCGCGCAGCCGUAAAGCGCACUCUUUCGGCGACAGCGUCGCAAACAAAACAGCGCGUAAGUCAGACGAGCGGAACCGAGAAACAGGGCCGACCGACCGACGAAGGCCAAGCCAAGGUUCCGGAGACGCUGGGCGCUUUUUCUGGCCGCCUUGGCUGAACACUGGAAAACCCUGGAAACUUCUUUACAUACCAGCCUCUUGUCCUCGUCCCCUGUGAUCUGAUUCACCUGUUCAAAGACACCACUGCCAGCUCCCCACCCCGAUGCUCCGGUGGUGACUAGUACCCACUCUAGAGUUACAGAAACCCAGGCAAUGUCGUCAGCUUCACCUGCUAGCUACCCUGUGCUAAAGAAGGGCAGCAGCUGAAGAAUUUUCAACUUACCGCUGAAAUUCUCAAGGAAAUCCUGAAGAACAAGUGUUGAGUAUGGCGCAUAUUUUAAAGGCCACUUUAGUUUACUAUUAAACCUGUGGAGGGGUUCUGCCAAUGAACGUUGCAAUCAGCAGAAAACGGGGCAAAUGAUUCAAAUUACCUCUGUUGUUGUUGUUGUUAUUAUUAUUAUUAAUCAACUACGUUCUCUUUGAGCCCUUUUACAUCGUAUGCUCUGACUACUAGUCAUACUAAAACUCACAUUGUUAGUUGAUAACUUAAAUGUUAGUACAGUAUGGGUGUUUCAAGAUGUUUUAAGGUAUUUGAGCACAGCAUGUUACCCGCAAAUAGAGCUGAUUUUCAUUAAGAUUAAUA